rnacentral:rRNA from 1 species
CACCGGCAGCUCAAGUGGUGGCCAUUUUUAUUGGGCCUAAAGCGUUCGUAGCCGGUUUGAUAAGUCUCUGGUGAAAUCUCACGGCUUAACCGUGAGAAUUGCUGGAGAUACUAUUAGGCUUGAGGCCGGGAGAGGCUGGAGGUACUCCCAGGGUAGGGGUGAAAUCCUAUAAUCCUGGGAGGACCACCUGUGGCGAAGGCGUCCAGCUGGAACGGACCUGACGGUGAGUAACGAAAGCCAGGGGCGCGAACCGG